UAACGCCUAACAGCUAGCCUAAACCAAACUUAAGAUUUACAUAAAGUUAAAGCUUACAAUAACUAAAAUAAAUCAUUUUAAACCCUUAGUAUGGGCGACAGAAAAGGAAAAAAGAGCUAUAGAUAAAGUACCGUAAGGGAAAGCUGAAAAAGAAAUGAAAUAAACCAUUUAAGCGCAGAGAAGCAAAGCUUAUAGCUUGUACCUUUUGCAUCAUGAUUUAGCAAGUAAAACACAAGCAAAGAGCCCUUUAGUUUGUGACCCCGAAACUGAGCGAGCUACUUCAAGACAGCCUAUAAUUAUUUAGGGCAAAUCCGUCUCUGUGGCAAUAGAGUGGAGAGAGCUUCAAGUAGAGGUGAUAAGCCUACCGAGCACAGUUAUAGCUGGUUGCCUGAGAAAUGAAUAGGAGUUCAGCCCUUUAAAAUUCCCUCAUCCCAUAAGUUAUUACACAAUUUGAUAAAGGAAAUUAAAGGAGUUAUUCAAAAGGGGCACAGCUCUUUUGAUAAAAGAAACAACUUUUACAGGUGGCCCAAGAUCAUACUAUCAAAGGAUUUUAACCUAAGUGGGCCUAAAAGCAGCCAUCUAAUAGAAAGCGUUAAAGCUCAAAUUAAAUAUCAUCUUGAUAUCCCGAUAAAAAAUCUCCCUCCCUGUUAAUCUACCAGGCUGUCUUAUGCUUUCAUAAGAACAAUUAUGCUAAAAUGAGUAAUAAGAAGAAUCUAAUUCUUCUCCUGACACGUGUGUAUGUUGGAACGGACCCCCCACCAACAGUUAUUCGACCCCAAACCAAGAGGGCCAUAAACUAUCUAAACAAGAAAACCAUUUAGAAUUUAUCGUUAACCCCACACAGGUGUGCCCCAAGGAAAGACUAAAAGAGAAGGAAGGAACUCGGCAAACACAAGCCUCGCCUGUUUACCAAAAACAUCGCCUCUUGCUUAAGCAAAGUAUAAGAGGUCCCGCCUGCCCUGUGACGAAAGUUUAACGGCCGCGGUAUUCUAACCGUGCGAAGGUAGCGUAAUCACUUGUUUUUUAAAUGGAGACCAGUAUGAAUGGCAUCACGAGGGCUUAACUGUCUCCCUUCUUUAGUCAAUGAAAUUGACCUUCCCGUGCAGAGGCGGGAAUAACUAUAUAAGACGAGAAGACCCUGUGGAGCUUUAGACCUAAAAUAAAUCACAUUUAGCAUACUAUAAUAACAGUAAAAAUCUAGUGAAAAAUUAUUGAAGUGUCUUUGGUUGGGGCGACCAUGGGGUAAAACAUAACCCCCAUACGGACUGGGGAUACUAUCCCUAACACCCAGAGCCUCCGCUCCAAGUAACAGAAUAUCUGACCUUACGAUCCGGUUACCCGAUUAACGAACCGAGUUACCCCAGGGAUAACAGCGCAAUCCCCUCCCAAAGCCCUUAUCGACGAGGGGGUUUACGACCUCGAUGUUGGAUCAGGACAUCCUAAUGGUGCAGCCGCUAUUAAGGGUUCGUUUGUUCAACGAUUAAAGUCCUACGUGAUCUGAGUUCAGACCGGAGUAAUCCAGGUCAGUUUCUAUCUAUAAAGAGCUUUUUUAUAGUACGAAAGGAUCUAAAAGAGGAGGCCCAUACAUUUUGCACGCCUCUCCCCCAACCCCUGAAACCCAAUAAAGUGGGCAAAGAGGCUUAAAAAUUCGGCCCCGAGAAGGCUCGUUU
rnacentral:rRNA from 1 species